GAUGAAGAACGUAGCGAAAUGCGAUAAGUAAUGUGAAUUGCAGAAUUCAGUGAAUCAUCGAAUCUUUGAACGCACAUUGCGCCCGCCAGUAUUCUGGCGGGCAUGCCUGUUCGAGCGUCAUUUCAACCCUCAAGACCCCUUCGGGGGACUUGGUGUUGGGGACCGGCACAGGGGCCUGCCUGCUUGUCUUGCAGCGCCCUCGCCGCCCCCGAAAUGAAUUGGCGGCCUCGUCGCGGCCUCCCCUGCGUAGUAGCACAAACCUCGCAACGGGAACGUGACGGCGGCCACUGCCGUAAAACAACCCAAUUUUAUUAGAGUUGACCUCGAAUCAGGUAGGAAUACCCGCUGAACUUAAGCAUACAAUAAGCGGAGGA
rnacentral:misc_RNA from 1 species